CAGCCGCCGCGGUAAUACGUAGGUCCCGAGCGUUGUCCGGAUUUAUUGGGCGUAAAGCGAGCGCAGGCGGUUAGAUAAGUCUGAGGUUAAAGCCUGUGGCUUAACCAUAGUACGCUUUGGAAACUGUUUAACUUGAGUGCAAGAGGGGAGAGUGGAAUUCCAUGUGUAGCGGUGAAAUGCGUAGAUAUAUGGAGGAACACCGGUGGCGAAAGCGGCUCUCUGGCUUGUAACUGACGCUGAGGCUCGAAAGCGUGGGGAGCAAACAGGAUUAGAUACCCCCGUAGUCCCUGUCUCUUAUACC
rnacentral:rRNA from 1 species